AAAAUCAUCUUUCGUACCCUUUUUUAAUGAAUGACUCUCGUCAGGGAAUAGCGCGAUUAUGAGCAGCGCUCAUAGAAAAAUUAGGCAAUUCGUCGAAAAAGUGUCUGCCCGAUAAACCUGAUGGUAGUCUACAAUGAGCUGAUCAUAAACCUUUCCCGAGGAACAAGUUGAGGGCAAGUCUGGUGCCAGUAGCCGCUGUAAUUCCAGCUCCACUAGUGUAAGUCGUCAUUGCUGCGGUUGAAAACCUCGGAGUUGUAUCAGAGUCAUGCAGUGGUUCACCUUCGGUUUUUACCGCUGUUGUGACUAGUUGCUGGUUUUCUAUUAAAGCUUCGGCUCUUUUAGUGGCUAGCGAGUUUACUUUGAAUAAAUAAGAGCGCUCAGAAUGGCAGUUUGCAGGAAUGGUCGAUCAUGGGAUAAUAUUAGGUCGUCGGAAAAGUUUCCCGCCACUUUUGCCAAUGUUUUCAAAAUUGUUCCUCUCCUUUAUUCCACUCGACAUCCGACACAUUUAUGCAUGAUUACCAUCAACAACAUCUUGUUAUUUAUCAGAUAAAAUUGGAACUCUCCUCCUCCAGAAUUUCUAGAGUUUUGAUGAAAAGAAUUCGGCGAGCCACGU
rnacentral:ncRNA from 1 species